rnacentral:rRNA from 1 species
AGCGAACGCUGGCGGCAGGCCUAACACAUGCAAGUCGAACGGACCCUUCGGGGUUAGUGGCGGACGGGUGAGUAACACGUGGGAACGUGCCUUUAGGUUCGGAAUAGCUCCUGGAAACGGGUGGUAAUGCCGAAUGUGCCCUUCGGGGGAAAGAUUUAUCGCCUUUAGAGCGGCCCGCGUCUGAUUAGCUAGUUGGUGAGGUAACGGCUCACCAAGGCGACGAUCAGUAGCUGGUCUGAGAGGAUGACCAGCCACACUGGGACUGAGACACGGCCCAGACUCCUACGGGAGGCAGCAGUGGGGAAUCUUGCGCAAUGGGCGAAAGCCUGACGCAGCCAUGCCGCGUGAAUGAUGAAGGUCUUAGGAUUGUAAAAUUCUCUCACCGGGGACGAUAAUGACGGUACCCGGAGAAGAAGCCCCGGCUAACUUCGUG